GCCCCCCGGCCCGGGAUAGCCCAGGGAAACCUGGAUUAAUACCGGAUGAGACGGGACCCGCGAAGGGCGGGACCCGGGAAAGGCGCUGCGGCGCCGCCGGGGGAUGAGUCUGCGUCCCAUUAGCUAGACGCGGGGUAAGGCCCACCGUGGCGACGAUGGGUAGCCGGCCUGAGAGGGUGGACGGCCACAUUGGAACUGAGACACGGUCCAGACUCCUACGGGAGGCAGCAGCUAAGAAUCUUCCGCAAUGGGCGAAAGCCUGACGGAGCGACGCCCCGCGUGAACGAAGAAGGCCGUGAGGUUGUAAAGUUCUUUUCGGGAGGGGGAACAACCGUGGCAGGGAAUGGCCGCGGGAUGACGUGAAUCCCGGAAUAAGCCCCGGCUAACUACGUGCCAGCCGCAGC
rnacentral:rRNA from 1 species